rnacentral:rRNA from 2 species
CUCUCGGCAACGGAUAUCUCGGCUCUCGCAUCGAUGAAGAACGUAGCGAAAUGCGAUACUUGGUGUGAAUUGCAGAAUCCCGUGAACCAUCGAGUCUUUGAACGCAAGUUGCGCCCGAGGCCACCCGGCCGAGGGCACGUCUGCCUGGGCGUCACGCCACCCAU